rnacentral:rRNA from 1 species
UACAGAGGGGGCAAGCGUUAUUCGGAAUUACUGGGCGUAAAGGGCGCGUAGGCGGCACCGCAAGUCGACUGUGAAAUCUCCGGGCUUAACCCGGAAAGGUCAGCCGAUACUGCGGGGCUAGAGUGCAGAAGGGGCAACUGGAAUUCUCGGUGUAGCGGUGAAAUGCGUAGAUAUCGAGAGGAACACCUGCGGCGAAGGCGGGUUGCUGGGCUGACACUGACGCUGAUGCGCGAAAGCUAGGGGAGCGAACGGG